UCAUCUGUAUAGCAGGACAGGAUGUCACAGAUGUAGAGAUUCAACAGGAUGAGAGUGCCUGACCUGUGACGGGUGCCCACCGGAAGUACCUGAGAGAGACCCCAGAAGGUGGAUAAGACUGCAGAGAGCAGGGAGCAUGAAGCACCUUGACCAAGGUCUCACCAGGCAAGAGAAGGGCGGAGAAGGGCGGCUUCUUCAUGGAUUGAAAUCCCAAAGCGUGCAAACGUAAGGACUCUUUUUAGGGCUCAAGGGGUCUAAACUUACCCUUUUACAUACGGAGAAACUGAGGGCGCCCCAAAAGAUGUGUCAUCUCCAGGGCCACCGAGUGGUUGAGCAACAGACUGGAACCCAGCGUAGCAACUGGAAAGGCCCCGAGGCUGGCACACAGUAUGAGCUGAGGCCAGUGGGCUUAAGAGCGACUGGGUAGGUGGGCUGGGGCCAGGCCAAGCAAUGAGCGUGGACUCCAGACCACAGCCAUGGGGAGCCACUGGAUUGGAAAGGUCUAGACACCAUCUGGCUUGGGUUCUCAAGAGACCCCUCUGGCUACUGGGGACUGACUGGCCUGCAGGAUCGUGGGAUGGGAGUCAGGAGACGGGAGGGUCAGGCCAGAAGCCGUGGAGUCAUCUCUGCCCCUGGCCCUUUUCUCUCACCCCUUACAUCUGAUCCAUCAGCAAAUCCCUUUGGCUCCACCUUCAAAAUAUAACCGGAAUCUGACCACA